rnacentral:rRNA from 1 species
AUGGCGGAGCCCAGCCGUCAAGGCUUCUGGUCGUGGGUAGAAAGGUUCUUCGCCAUCCGGCGCCUUCCCGACCACCAUCCUGACGCCGGAGACGAGGUCGCGGAAGCGGAACCUAAUCAGUGUAGCAGAUGCAUCUUCGUACAUUGCGGGAUUCUGGUUGUGCUCGUCAUCGCCGCCGUCUCCGUACUCCUCCUGGUGCUGAUCCGCCCGCCGUCGCAUUCCACCGCCGGAUCGGUGGUGUACUUCGCUACGCGCGUCCUUGGGUUCUUGGGCAUGGUCUUCAGCGCAUGCCGGGGCGCCUUUUUUGUCUAUCUUGGAGGUGCGUUAGUUGAGGGGGAUAAAGAGGCGGAGCGGACCAUAGAUCGGUUAAUGUAA